CCUACGGGAGGCUGCAGUGGGGAAUAUUGGACAAUGGGCGAAAGCCUGAUCCAGCCAUGCCGCGUGUGUGAAGAAGGCCUUCGGGUUGUAAAGCACUUUCAGUGGGGAAGAAAGCCUUGGGGCUAAUACCCUCGAGGAAGGACAUCACCCACAGAAGAAGCACCGGCUAACUCCGUGCCAGCAGCCGCGGUAAUACGGAGGGUGCGAGCGUUAAUCGGAAUUACUGGGCGUAAAGCGCGCGUAGGCGGUCUGAUAAGCCGGUUGUGAAAGCCCCGGGCUCAACCUGGGAACGGCAUCCGGAACUGUCAGGCUAGAGUGCAGGAGAGGAAGGUAGAAUUCCCGGUGUAGCGGAGAAAUGCGUAGAGAUCGGGAGGAAUACCAGUGGCGAAGGCGGCCUUCUGGACUGACACUGACGCUGAGGUGCGAAAGCGUGGGUAGCAAACAGGAUUAGAUCCCUAGUAGUC
rnacentral:rRNA from 1 species